rnacentral:rRNA from 1 species
UACAGGGGGUGCAAACGUUGCUCGGAAUCAUUGGGCGUAAAGCGCACGUAGGCGGUUCGUUAUGUCGGAUGUGAAAGCCCUUGGCUUAACUGAGGAAGUGCAUCCGAAACUGGCGGGCUAGAGUACUAAAGAGGGUCGCGGAAUUCCCGGUGUAGAGGUGAAAUUCGUAGAUAUCGGGAGGAACACCGGUGGCGAAGGCGGCGACCUGGGUAGAUACUGACGCUGAGGUGCGAAAGCGUGGGGAGCAAACAGG